rnacentral:rRNA from 1 species
GGACUCGCACAAGCGGUGGAGCAUGUGGUUUAAUUCGACGCAACGCGAAAAACCUUACCAGGCCUUGACAUCCUCCUGACCGAUCUAGAGAUAGGUCCUUCCCUUUUAGGGACAGAAGAGACAGGUGGUGCAUGGUUGUCGUCAGCUCGUGUCGUGAGAUGUUGGGUUAAGUCCCGCAACGAGCGCAACCCUUAUCAUUAGUUGCUAACAUUCAGUUGAGAACUCUAAUGAGACUGCCAGCGACAAGCUGGAGGAAGGUGGGGAUGAGGUCAAAUCAUCAUGCCCCUUAUGGCCUGGGCUACACACGUGCUACAAUGGCCGGUACAAAGAGCAGCAAAGCCGUGAGGUGGAGCAAAUCUCAAAAAGCCGGUCUCAGUUCAGAUUGUAGUCUGCAACUCGACUACAUGAAGUCGGAAUCGCUAGUAAUCGUGAAUCAGCAUGUCACGGUGAAUACGUUCUCGAGUCUU